CCCUUAGAUGUUCUGGGCCGCACGCGCGCUACACUGAUGCAUUCAACAAGUUCACCUUGGCCGAGAGGCUUGGGCAAUCUUUUGAACAUGCAUCGUGAUAGGGAUAGAUUAUUGCAAUUAUUAAUCUUGAACGAGGAAUUCCUAGUAAACGUAGAUCAUCAAUCUGCAUUGAUUACGUCCCUGCCCUUUGUACACACCGCCCGUCGCACCUACCGAUUGAAUGGUCCGGUGAAGCCUCGGGAUUGUGGCCAGCUCGCUUUAUUGGGAGUUGGUUGCGAGAACUUGUCUAAACCUUAUCAUUUAGAGGAAGGUGAAGUCGUAACA
rnacentral:rRNA from 1 species